rnacentral:rRNA from 1 species
AUUGAACGCUGGCGGCAUGCCUUACACAUGCAAGUCGAACGGUAACAGGUUAAGCUGACGAGUGGCGAACGGGUGAGUAAUGUAUCGGAACGUGCACAGUCGUGGGGGAUAACGUAGCGAAAGCUACGCUAAUACCGCAUACGGUCUACGGAUGAAAGCGGGGGAUCGCAAGACCUCGCGCGAUUGGAGCGGCCGAUAUCAGAUUAGGUUGUUGGUGAGGUAAAAGAUCACCAAGCCUGCGAUCUGUAGCUGGUCUGAGAGGACGACUAGCCACACUGGAAAUGAGACACGGUCCAGACUCCUACGGGAGGCAGCAGUGGGGAAUUUUGGACAAUGGACGCAAGUCUGAUCCAGCAAUGCCGCGUGCAGGACGAAGGCCUUCGGGUUGUAAACUGCUUUUGUACGGAACGAAACGGUGAGCUCUAAUACAGUUUGCUAAUGACGGUACCGUAAGAAUAAGCACCGGCUAACUACGUGCCAGCCGCCGCGGUAA